AUGAACGCUGGCGGCGUGCCUAAUACAUGCAAGUCGAGCGAACGGACGAGAAGCUUGCUUCUCUGAUGUUAGCGGCGGACGGGUGAGUAACACGUGGAUAACCUACCUAUAAGACUGGGAUAACUUCGGGAAACCGUAGCUAAUACCGGAUAAUAUUUUGAACCGCAUGGUUCAAAAGUGAAAGACGGUCUUGCUGUCACUUAUAGAUGGAUCCGCGCUGCAUUAGCUAGUUGGUAAGGUAACGGCUUACCAAGGCAGCGAUGCAUAGCCGACCUGAGAGGGUGAUCGGCCACACUGGAACUGAGACACGGUCCAGACUCCUACGGGAGGCAGCAGUAGGGAAUCUUCCGCAAUGGGCGAAAGCCUGACGGAGCAACGCCGCGUGAGUGAUGAAGGUCUUCGGAUCGUAAAACUCUGUUAUUAGGGAAGAACAUAUGCGUAAGUAACUGUGCACAUCUUGACGGUACCUAAUCAGAAAGCCACUGCUAACUACGUG
rnacentral:rRNA from 1 species